AGAAGGCCUUCGGGUUGUAAAGCACUUUCAGCAGUGAGGAAGGUCGUGUACUUAAUACGUGCACGGCUUGACGUUAGCUGCAGAAGAAGCACCGGCUAACUCCGUGCCAGCAGCCGCGGUAAUACGGAGGGUGCGAGCGUUAAUCGGAAUUACUGGGCGUAAAGCGCAUGCAGGCGGUUUGUUAAGUCAGAUGUGAAAGCCCGGGGCUCAACCUCGGAACCGCAUUUGAAACUGGCAGGCUAGAGUCUUGUAGAGGGGGGUAGAAUUUCAGGUGUAGCGGUGAAAUGCGUAGAGAUCUGAAGGAAUACCAGUGGCGAAGGCGGCCCCCUGGACAAAGACUGACGCUCAGAUGCGAAAGCGUGGGUAGCAAACAGGAUUAGAUACCCUGGUAGUCCACGCCGUAAACGCUGUCUACUUGGAGGUUGAGGUUUUAGACUUUGGCUUUCGGCGCUAACGCAUUAAGUAGACCGCCUGGGGAGUACGGCCGCAAGGUUAAAACUCAAAUGAAUUGACGGGGGCCCGCACAAGCGGUGGAGCAUGUGGUUUAAUUCGAUGCAACGCGAAGAACCUUACCUACUCUUGACAUCCAGCGAAGCCUUUAGAGAUAGAGGCGUGCCUUCGGGAGCGCUGAGACAGGUGCUGCAUGGCUGUCGUCAGCUCGUGUUGUGAAAUGUUGGGUUAAGUCCCGCAACGAGCGCAACCCUUAUCCUUGUUUGCCAGCACAUAAUGGUGGGAACUCCAGGGAGACUGCCGGUGAUAAACCGGAGGAAGGUGGGGACGACGUCAAGUCAUCAUGGCCCUUACGAGUAGGGCUACACACGUGCUACAAUGGCAGAUACAGAGGGCAGCGAGACAGCGAUGUUUAGCGAAUCCCUUAAAGUUUGUCGUAGUCCGGAUUGGAGUCUGCAACUCGACUCCAUGAAGUCGGAAUCGCUAGUAAUCGUGAUCAGA
rnacentral:rRNA from 1 species